GCAAACUUCUUGGCUUGUGCUCGGACCCUUUUCUCGUACUCCACUCUGUUUUGGCUGAGGAGGUCAAAAGAGAAGAGACGUGUUAGAGGGCUGAGCUGCCUGGCCCUCACGCUCGCCCCGGAGCCAGCUGGGCAGACCAGGCUGCAGGAUGGGACCUCCUGGGGGAGGGCAGUGUGGAGCUCGUCAUAGUAACAGAAGCAGAAGCCCGGAGAAGCAGGGAGGCCUGCGUGGUGGGGAGCCCAUGCUGGCUCUGACGUGGCUGAGACUGUCCCGUGGUCUGACGGGGGCAGAAGGGCAGGGAGGAGAGGAACCCACGCUGGGUGAACGUGGUGUUCAAGGGGGACAGAGGGGUCCCGCAGGGCUGCGAGGAGGGCUCAGGCCCAGAGGGCCCACGCCAGGGCCUGCAACAUCGUUGCCGAUGCCAAGUCUGGUCCUAACUAGUAAUCAGCAGCUUCUCUUUUCUGUAGGUCUGGGGACAGUCCUAAUAAACUGAAAACACUGACUGCUUGCCACUGUUUUUGUUAAUUCCCAAAAAUAGACACCAAUUUCUGGAGGGUUUUUCCAUGAGGCUCUCAGCCGCAGGGGCAAAGGUGUGGGAAGGCAGGCCUGGUUGAGAAGGCGUUGUGCCCGAGCUGGGCAGUGCAGGGGCAUCAGCGAACAGGUCUGGAGCUGGGUAGAGUGAGGCUCAGCCUGCAAGCAGCUGCCCAGGAGAGUGGCAUGGCACACACUGCCCGGGCAAAACAGGUGGGCGGGAGGGCGGCCGAGGCUGCACCUAGGGGCUGAUGGGUCACAGGGUGCAGUGUGACCCUGAGGAUGGGGGAACACCAUGACAUUUAUGGAGGUGGCUCCUGGGGUCGCAGUCCUGCCAGUCUCGCCAGGAUUGGACCUGGUCUGAGACACUGAGCCUCACUCUGCAUGGUGGAACAGCCCAGGACGGCAGCAGCGCCGGUGCCACCCCCACCCACGCCAAGGGCCUGGACCGCAGCCCAGACCCCAGCGCCCUCCUUGGGCCACCAGCCGGCCCCAGGGCAGAGCAGCUCAGCUGGGUGGGCGUGGAAGGAACCAGAGGCGGUGGCUACACGUCCCAGCUCUUCCUUGACCAAGCAGAGGCCCCGAGAAAAGGCACCUGCCAGGGCAGGAACACGGUCCAAGGCCUCCAGGAAACCCAGGAAAAACGAUCUGAAACCCGCACACAUGCUUCACAAAGGGUGCUUUUCAAGCGGAUGUGUGUAGGAGAAAGAACGUUUGUUUACGUGCACGCAAGUGUACAGUGCAGCCCAGCAGGCACCAAGCCCAGGAGACGCUGGGGAGAGUCACACGGGGCGGGGGACUGCAACCCUGCCCAGCCCACGCCGCAGAUGGGAGCCACAGCCCAGCUCUGGAGAUGGUCGGCAAAUGGGGUGCAGGCCAGACAGAGCUCACGCCCACACCAUGCUGGGGAUGGCAGACCAUCUAAGGGCUAGGCAGGAAAACAUUUGCCUUUUGUUUUGUUUUUUUGAGACAGAGUCUGGCUCUGUUGCCCAGGCUGGAGUGCAGUGGCGUGAUCUCGGCUCACUGUAAGCUCCGCCUCCCAGGUUCAAGCCAUUCUCCUGCCUCAGCCUCCCGAGUAGCUGGGGUUACAGGUGUGCGCCACCACGCCCGGCUAAUUUUUUUUAUUUUUACUAGAGAUGGGGUUUCACCGUGUUAGCCAGGAUGGUCUCAAUCUCCUGACCUCGUGAUCUGCCCACCUUGGCCUCCCAAAGUGCUGGGAUUACAGGCGUGAGCCACCGCGCCCGGCAUGCUUUUUUUUUUUUUUUUGAGACAGGGUCUCACUUUGUCACCCAGGCUGCAAUCUUGGCUCACUGCAGCAUCAACCACCUGGGCUCAAGCAGUCCUCCCACCUCAGCCUCCCAAAUAGCUGGGACUACAGGCAUGCACCAUCAUCCCCGGCUUAAUUUUUUUUUUUUUUUUUUUUUUAAAGAGAGCAGGUCUUGCCAUGUGGCCCAGGCUGGUCUCCAACUCCUGGGCUCAGGUAACGUCCCACAGUGGCCUUGCAAAGUGCUGGGAUUACAGGCAUGAGCCACCACCCCUGGCAAAUUUUUUAAUUUUUUGUAGAGAUAGGGUCUCGCUAUGUUGCCCAGUCUAGUCAUGAACUCCUGAGUUCAAGCAAUCAGCCCACCUUGGCCUCCCAAAGUGUUGAGAUUACAGGUGUUGGGCCACCACACUUGGCCUAGAAAUCAUUUUCCAGGCACGGUGGCUCAUGCCUAUAAUCCCGGCACUUUGGGAGGCGAGGCGGGUGGAUCACCUGAGGUCAGAAGUUCGAGACCAGCCUGGCCAACGUGGUGAAACACUGUCUUUACUAAAAAUACAAAAAUUAGUCAGGUGUGGUGGUGGGUGCCUGUAAUCCCAGCUACUUGGGAGGCUGAGGCAGGAGAAUCACUUGAACCCAGGAGGCAGAGGUUGUAGUGAGCUGAGAUCACACCACUGCACUCCAGCCUGGGCGACAGAGUGAGACUCUGUUUAAAAAAAAAAAAAAAAAAAAAAAAGAAAACAUUUUCUGCCUCAAGGGCCAUGUGGACACCCACGAGCACUGUGGCUUCCUGUCCAAGGGAAUGCAUUUCACGGACUCCUAGGGCACAGCAGGCCAGCACACAAACCCAGGUCACGCCACGUCCCACGAGCCACUUCCAGCAAUGGCUUGGCUGACUGAGCGGCUAUGAGUUUUUUUUUUUUUUUGAGACAGGGUCUCGCUUUGUCAAGCAGGCUGGAUUGCGGUGCUGCAAUCUCAACUCACUGCGCAUCAACCUCCUGGGCUCAAGCAGUCCUCCCACCUCAGCCUCCCAAAUAGCUGGGACUACAGGUGUGCACCACCAUGCAGGGGAGCCAGGCUGAGCCUGGGGUGGCUGCUGUGAUACUUGCUCCCUGCCUGGGGCCUCUGUGCCACCCUCGGCCACCAGGGAGGGCACCUUGCAGACACCUGGGCUGGGCCCGCAUCCAGGGAGAAACACAUCUCUCCAAAACCACGUGCUUUUUUUUUUUUUGAGACAGCAUUCCUCCGUCGCCAGGCUGGAGAGCAGUGGCAGGAUCUCGGCUCACUGCAACUUCCGCCUCCCGGGUUCAAGUGAUUCUCCUGUCUCAGCCUCCCAGGUAGCUGGGAUUAGAGGCACCCACCACUACGCCCAACUAAUUUUUUGUAUUUUUAGUAGGGACGAGGGUUUCGCCAUGUUGGCCAGGCUGGUCUCGAACUCCUGACCGCAUGAUUCACCCACCUCGGCCUCCCAAAGUGCUGGGAUUACAAGCGUGAGCCACUGCGCCCGGCCGAAACCAGGUGCUUUUCCUCACGACCUGUGCAGGCCGGGCCUAAGGCAACCGGGACCCCUCAGCCUCCCCCCUCCUGACCAGGAGAUGCACCCUGGAGGGAGAGGGCCUCUGAUGCCCACAGUGGCAGGGAUGUGUGGGGUGGCUGCAGGUGAGCCUUCUGGGUCCCUGGCCAUUGGGGGCCCUGAGACCCCCUCAGAGGUGUGGGGACCCGUGGUGAGAUGGGGCUGGGUUUCUCAACGCUGCAGGCGGAGCAGUGGGGGGUCGGAGGCCCCAACCCACCUUCUUAUGGACCUGCCCAGAACAGCUGCAGAGGGAACAGGACAGGCGGGCGCAUGGCCUCUGCUCAGGGCAGGGUCCUCCCUGCUUUCCCCAGCACUGUUUGGCUGUCGUCUGCAUCCUAACUCACACCAGGCCCUCCUCGGUGCAGACAGGACCCCAGGCCCACGGGGACCCUUCUAGCCACAGCAGCACCUCACAGGGACAGGGUGGAAGCCCAGGGUCCGUGUGACAGCAUCACGUCACUGAGCCCUGCUGGGCUGGGCCCCCCCACAGAAGGAACCAAGUUGUAGAGGGGAUGGGGACAAGCAGCAAGGGCGGCGCGGGAGGCUGGGGUCCAUGGGAGGCUGAGCCGGUGGAGAGGCCUCUCAGCAUGGCCUCCUCUGGCACCCACGCCCAGGGUCCUUCCCCUCCUAGCUGGCCACAACUCACUGGGGCAGUGGCCCAAGACAGCCCGUCACCUGGCCUGCUCCCUCCCCGGGACACGGCUCCGGCGCCAUCCAUGCCCACCGCAGACGGUGUGCAACGGUGCCUGCUGCCCACAGGGUUUAUGCCCCCCGACCUUCCCCACAGAGGCGUGGACCCUGGCUGUCCGUAGGGUGAGCCUGUGUCCUCCACUCCCGUCCUGCCAGGCGGCCUUGGCUGGGACGGGGAGGAGCUGCCACCAGCGGGGCCAGGGCUGCUACUAACCAGUAAAUCGUGUAGGCCUCUGCUUGAGCUGGGUCUUGGAUAUUUGGUUCAUUUAGAAGUUCCUGUAUUCCUAAUAGGAUCUGUGCCAGAGACAAAAACACAAGACGGGUGUGAGCAGUUUGAAAGGGAGACACCGUGAGACUCGGCCUCAGCCACAGAGAAUGACCACAGACCCACGUGUCCGGAGGGGAGACUAAGGCAGCCCUGCCGGUGCCAGAGGCGGAGGCCCCGUACCUGUUUGAUUGUGAUGGCUGGCCUCCAGUCCUUGUCCUCCUCUAAGAUGGACAGGCACACUGUCCCCGAAGGGUACACAUUCGGGUGAAAUAAUGGUGGUUC
rnacentral:lncRNA from 1 species